rnacentral:rRNA from 1 species
GACGAACGCUGGCGGCGUGCUUAACACAUGCAAGUCGAACGGAAAGGCCCUGCUUUUGUGGGGUGCUCGAGUGGCGAACGGGUGAGUAACACGUGAGUAACCUGCCCUUGACUUUGUGAUAACUUCAGGAAACUGGGGAUAAUAACGGAUAGGAGCUCCUGCUGCAUGGUGGGGGUUGGAAAGUUUCGGCGGUUGGGGAUGGACUCGCGGCUUAUCAGCUUGUUGGUGGGGUAGUGGCUUACCAAGGCUUUGACGGGUAGCCGGCCUGAGAGGGUGACCGGCCACAUUGGGACUGAGAUACGGCCCAGUAUCCUACGGGAGGCAGCAGUGGGGAAUAUUGCACAAUGGGCGGAAGCCUGAUGCAGCAACGCCGCGUGCGGGAUGACGGCCUUCGAGUUGUAAACCGCUUUCGCCGGUGACGAAGCGUGAGUGACGGUAAUUGGUAAAGAAGCACCGGCUAACUACGUG